CUCGUAGGCGGUUUGUCGCGUCUGCUGUGAAAACUGGAGGCUCAACCUCCAGCCUGCAGUGGGUACGGGCAAACUAGAGUGCGGUAGGGGAGAUUGGAAUUCCUGGUGUAGCGGUGGAAUGCGCAGAUAUCAGGAGGAACACCGAUGGCGAAGGCAGAUCUCUGGGCCGUAACUGACGCUGAGGAGCGAAAGCAUGGGGAGCGAACA
rnacentral:rRNA from 1 species